UACGGAGGGUGCGAGCGUUAAUCGGAAUUACUGGGCGUAAAGCGCGCGUAGGCGGUUUGUUAAGUCAGCUGUGAAAGCCCUGGGCUCAACCUGGGAACUGCAGUUGAUACUGGCCGACUAGAGUAUGAAAGAGGGAGGAAGAAUUCCAUGUGUAGCGGUGAAAUGCGUAGAUAUAUGGAGGAAUACCAGUGGCGAAGGCGGCCUCCUGGUUCAAUACUGACGCUGAGGUGCGAAAGCAUGGGGAGCGAACAGG
rnacentral:rRNA from 1 species